rnacentral:rRNA from 1 species
AACGAACGCUGGCGGCAUGCCUAACACAUGCAAGUCGAACGAGACCUUCGGGUCUAGUGGCGCACGGGUGCGUAACGCGUGGGAACCUGCCCUUAGGUUCGGAAUAACUCCCCGAAAGGGGUGCUAAUACCGGAUAAUGUCUUCGGACCAAAGAUUUAUCGCCUUUGGAUGGGCCCGCGUUGGAUUAGCUAGUUGGUAGGGUAAAAGCCUACCAAGGCGACGAUCCAUAGCUGGUCUGAGAGGAUGAUCAGCCACACUGGGACUGAGACACGGCCCAGACUCCUACGGGAGGCAGCAGUGGGGAAUAUUGGACAAUGGGCGAAAGCCUGAUCCAGCAAUGCCGCGUGAGUGAUGAAGGCCUUAGAGUUGUAAAGCUCUUUUACCCGGGAUGAUAAUGACAGUACCGAGAGAAUAAGCUCCGGCUAACUCCGUG